GCUCAGACUCUGCAGCCCAGAGCAAGGAGGAGCAGGAGUGGGAGGCUGAACAUCUGCUGGUUCACUUCUUCUGGGUAUGAAGGUGGAAGAGUGACUGCUUAACUAAGAUAUUUCUGAGUGCUCUGGGGAUUCAUCACUUAUCCUGAAAUUCAAGGAGAGCAGCCCUAAGAAGUCCUGAGUGCAGAAAAAGGUGAUUCUGCCUGUCCCUGUUUCUGUCUGUAAAAACACUUCAGAACACAGAAGGUCCUGGAGCUGAUCAAAGACUGAAGAAAUCAGGUGAAAGGGGUCCAGAAUUUUUGGCAAUAUGAACCCUGUUAUCACAGUUAGCCCUUCUGGCAGUACUGGGUUUCCUGGUUUAAAACCAUCCUGGACUUGAUGCUCCCAUCACUGCUGAUAAAUGUAUUGCUCCUGAGUGCAAACAGCUUGCAAUCUCAUGAUUGUUACAUUCUCCAUUGUGUUUUCAGAGAUUUAGAUAUGCCUACCAAUUCUAAUAAGUCAUUAAUCUAUGUACUUGCAUUCCACUGUACAUUUUCUACACAAACAUCUACUUGUGAAGCUGUUUGUGAAGGUGCUUGUUUACCUAUGAGUUAAGAAUCAUUCUCUUGUCUCUUCUGCUCAACUGCUGUGAGAACUCAGAUGAUGGAUGGAUUUAAAUAAAAUGGGGGAAGUUGUCACUAUGUUACAA